UACGAAGGGGGCUAGCGUUGCUCGGAAUCAUUGGGCGUAAAGCGCGUGUAGGCGGUCCGGUAAGUCCGCUGUGAAAGUCGAGGGCUCAACCCUCGAAUGCCGGUGGAUACUGUCGGGCUUGAGUACGGGAGAGGCGAGUGGAAUUCCUGGUGUAGCGGUGAAAUGCGCAGAUAUCAGGAGGAACACCGAUUGCGAAGGCAGCUCGCUGGAACGUAACUGACGCUGAGACGCGAAAGCGUGGGGAGCAAACAGG
rnacentral:rRNA from 1 species